UCACCACUGCAAAAAAAAACGGAACAAUUAUGGCGUUUUUAUUACGGCGACUAUUAAGAACCGCCACAAUAAUCACUGUACCACUCCAGUACUAUAGUCGCCCGAUUGUGCAUUCGUAAAGCGGCGGUUUAAGAUACAAUUAUGGCGUUUCGAACCGAUGCUAUCUUUAUUUUUAAUUUUUAACAUAAUUUUUAGGUUUAGUUGGAAAAUGCAUAUUCUCACAAAUCAGAACUCCUCGUUCACUUCCCUCUCCGUGCAGCGCUUUGUCAGACCGCCAUAGCCGGCGAUUCUCUCUUCUCUUCUCUCAUCUCCCAGUUUAUCCUUUAUCUCCUAUUCUCUCCUUUCGUACUCCUCUUCUCGAUGAGGCCCUUGAUUCGAAAUACGGAAAGGAAUGGCGAAGCUUCUGGUCUACGAUGAAGCUCUCAUGGAAUUCGCAAACCUCCGUCGCAGCUUUAAUGAUCUCAACUCUCAACUUCAAACAAAGUUCAGGCAGAAAUUGAUUUUGAAAAAUCAAUGCAUCUGUGGGCAGUGAUGCUCAAGUGGAGGAUGGUAUUUGGUGCAGACACUAAGGUUAUACAGGAGCAUACAACAUCUGAACAAUUGAUAAGAAGGAAUGAAGAACUUCGACAAAUGAGCUAGAAAAUUCAUCCAAUGCCUCCAAACUGUUGAUGAAUGGAGAUGCAAGAAAUACGGUGGAUGUAAAAGCCCGGAUUGUUGAAGAGCCUAAUAGCAAAUCUAAGAUAUGGAAGCUCACUGAAGUUACUGAAUCAUCACAGUGCUGAUCCUUGAAGCUUCCUGAGAACCUCAGAGUGACUAAGAUAUAAACUCCAUGUUUCUUGAUUCACGAGAUAUCUAAUUGGAUCAUUUUUUUUCCAUUGAACAUACACAUAACAGAUAACAGAUAAUUCAUGAAUAAAAUCUGACGCACAUUUAGUCAGGGCUUGUCCCUUCAGGUUUAAAAGUUGCCUUUGUGCAAUGACAUUAUCAAGGUGCGUAUAAGACAACAUGAUAUCAACAAAUAAAAUUAUUAGGUUAAUUGAGUGGAAAUGAACCAUAGGACAACAUGCCAGGGGAAGGGAUAUUGAUUUUGCGCAUCUCUUUUACCCUUUCUUGGUCACUAAAUGUGAUUCUAUUCAAGUGCAAUGGAAGUCCAUCAAGGUCAUCGAUCACAAUGUCACGGAGGUCUAAAGCCUUCUGAGCAAAGUCUUUAAACCUUGUCGUCAAUCACAAUAAGCUAUAUGGUGUCUUGUUUUAUAACAGUAAAAAGUUAACAAGUCAAUGAUCCUGCUGUCACUUUAGCACUCCCAUUCAGUAAACCGAUAUUCUUUGCAUUAAACUGCUUUCUUGGUCGAUUAGUUAAGGAAUCUGUGUUGUAUGACUAUAGAUAAACUAGCAUAAUCAUACUCUUCAAAGAAAAUUAUAUUAGCAUAUAUUCAGUUUGUAAAUUUUUUGUGUACGAAAUCAUUUCCUGUUUGACAAACAUGGUAAAAAGUAUGAUAGUUAGAUAUGACUACGGCACUUGCUUUUGGAUACUUGUAAGGUAAACUAAGACAAGUCGAUAUGCUACAACUUCCACUGGUCAACAUAUACAUGGUAUAAGCUCGAAUGUCUCAUGCACGAGUGAUAUUAUAUGUUGGCAUAGAAAAAGAAAAAGGAAAUAAGGGCAGGGAAUGUUGGAAGGGUCUUGUAUUUCCUCCUUUUACAUGUUAAUGAUGCAUUCCACUUUUCUUCUUCUUUCUCUGGAUCCUUAUCUUGAAUGGUUAAAGGAGUUGACUAAAUAUUCUGCAGGUUAUAUCUGCCACCUACAACCUAUUCAGCAGUUUAAGAAAUGUGAAUAUAUUAGUUUGUACCAUGACCCUUUGACAUGCUUGCAAUUUUGAAUAUAAAGUUUUAUAUUUCGUACAUCAUGAUUGAAUUUUGAUUAUUUCUUGCUUAUUGCUUCAUUUUAUUUUGUAGGCACAGAAUAUAAGAAAUAUGUUGCAUCGCCUAACAAGCCAGAAAGGAUCUCCAAAUGGAAGUAACACUGCUCCACAGAUUCAUGCACGUGCUCGUUCAACAUAAUUUCUAGGAUUUAUUGUAGUUAUUUUCCUUGUAUUGAGUGAAUGUAAAAUACUACUUGAAAUUUUAAUACAUUUUAUGAUGUAUUUCUGGAAUACUUAUAUUUUUAUAUAGGCAGAAUAGCCUGGGAGGCCCCUAUACUUGUCCA